UUCUGGGUAAUGGAGUUUCCGGGGCACUCCGCGCGCCCUCGGUCCCGGCAGCAGAGGCCCCAGGUCGCGGGACCCCCGCCGCUCGGCUGAUCUCUGCGGCGUGCGCGCGGACCCGCCGGCGGGGUCGGAGGCCCCGAGGAUGUCUGCGGCGUCCCGGAGGCCCAAGACGUUCAAGCUGCGGGCCCUGCACGGCCCCCAGAAGGUCGGGGUGGCGGGGAGCAGCUGCCAGGACGUGCUGCGGAAGGGCUGCCUCCUCCUGCAGCUCCCUGUCGCCGGCUCCCGCCUGUGCCGGUACGAAGACGGCACGGAGCUGACCGCUGAUGACUUCUGGAGCGUCCCCGACGGCUCGGAGCUGGUGCUUCUCAGCGCGGGCCAGACCUGGCAAGGCUACGUGAGUGACCUCCGUCGCCUCCUCAGCGCCUUCCACAAGCCGCAUGAGGGGCUGAUCCAGGCCGCGCGGCAGCUGCUGUCGGACGAGCAGGCCCCGCUGCGGCAGAAGCUGCUGGCCGACCUCCUGCACACCGUCAGCGAGAACAUUGCGGCCGAGACCAGGGCCGAGGACCCGCCGUGGUUCGAAGGUUUGGAGUCUCGGUUCAGGACUAAGUCUGGGUACCUGAGGUACAGCUGUGAGAGCCGGAUCCGGAGCUACCUGAGAGAGGUGAGCUCUUACGCCUCUGUGGUCAGCGUGGAGGCCCAGGAGGAGUACUCCCGCAUCGUGGCCGUCAUGGGCCGGGAGCUCAGGGCGGCACAGUACCACGGCACCUACUUCGACAGAGGCGCCAAGGCCGGCCACCGGCUCUGCACGCCAGAGGGCUGGUUCUGCUGCCAGGGCCCUUUCGACGUGGACGCCUGUGCAUCCAAACACUCCAUCAAUCCCUAUGGUAACAGGGAGAGCCGUGUCCUCUUCAGCACGUGGAACCUGGACCACAUUGCCCACAGCAACAGACUGGUCACUCACCAGUGGUGGCCUGACCCCCUCCUGAACCUCCGGGGGCUGCCUCACCGCUUCUAGGAUUAAGAACCGGACGUCACAUGGCCUGGAAGGCCCAGCACACAGCAGGAGCUCCAGGAAUGUUCGCUGAGUGAAGGUGGCGCAGGAUGAAGCCCCUUUCAGGUCCAGCGGGAGGAAGCCGGCAGGAGCCCCCGCCUGGCCCAAGGCCGUCCCUCCCUGCAAGGCGGGAAGCCCAGAGCUGCUGCAGGAGAUGCUCUUGGGUUCUCUCCCUCCUCCCAUGUGCUUCCUUUCCCUCUUCCAGACUAGCUGCACCCCCGCCUUCCAGGUCCCGGAAGCCGAGGCCCGUGUUUAGCUCACAACCGUGGCCCCAGAGCCCGGCUGAGUGCCCGGGACAUGCUGGAGGGACAUGUUGGAGGGAUGGCUGGCGGGAAGAAUGCAUAGGAGGGGGUUGCGGAUUGAAGAUGGGGAGGAGACUCUGUGUUCUCACCCGUAACCCAGGCUCACCGCCCAACACUCCGCUAUGUUCACAGCUCAGUGUUUGCCUUCCACAAACACUGCGGGGCUGGCGAGAAGGUUGGAGAGGAUUUUCAGUUGUUUAAGUCGGUGGUUUCGUUAGCCGAGGUCCUUCUGGCCUGGAGCGUGUCUCCUUACCCACAGAUGGUGGCCUGUGUGACGAAGGAUCGUUUCUUACAUGCUGACCCUUUAUGGUUAAAAGACAGAAUAGUUUUCCUAAAAAGUGAGGGGAAAACCACAAGCGGAAAAGGUCACAGAAGAAUGUGGAGCAGCAGGAACUCUCACUGCUGGUGGGAUCCAACACGGCGUGGCCGCUUUGGAAGACAGGUCGGUGGUUUCUUACAGAACGGGGCACCUUCCUACCGUGGGGUCCGCAGUCACGCUCCCUCAGGUCCAUGCGAAAGCCUGCUGCACCAGCACGUUGCUACCAGCCUUAUUUGUAAUUGCUAAAACUUGGAACCCAUCAAGACGUCUUUUAGAAAAGGCGAGUGGAUGAAGAAAAUGGUCCAUCCAGACAACGGAAUAUUAUUCAGCGCUGAAAAGGCACGAGCCAUCCAGCCGUGGAGAGACAGGAAGGAACCGCGAAUGCGUCGCGCUAAGAGAAAGGAGCCCGUCAGAGGACUCCAGCCGGGGACGUUCUGGAAAAGGCAAACCUAGACAGGGCAUCCAGGUCAGUGUUCCCCGGGGACAGGCGUGGCAGGCAGAUGAGCUGAGGACAUGGGACCUUCAGGGCAGUGAAGCGACUCUGGGUGAGCAAUUUCUGGUUUUGUCCAAACCCAUGGGAUAGACGCCACCAAGAACGCACCGUGGCAUGGACUGUGGACACUGGAGGAUGACGUGUGAACGUAGGUUCAUCAACCAUCACGUCCGUCCCGUGCUGGGCGGGUGUCGGUAGUGGGCGGACAGGGGACUUGGGGAGAUCUGAGUAUCUCUUCGGUUUUGCUGUGAGCCUACACCACUCUGGAAAACAGAUCUGCUUAUACAGGGAUGCCAUACGUGGAAGCAUUGAUGAGAAAAAUAAAGGGAAAGCUCGCGGCCUGGUUUUUCAGCGUCCGUGUC